rnacentral:lncRNA from 1 species
UUGAAGGCUGUUAACCAGGUCAGAGGUAUGAGAAAAAGAAAGGCUUUUUCUUAUCAUGUGCUAUGAAGAGAGUCUGAGGUCAGAAGCAUUUUGGGUCAAGGAUUUCAUUAACAGCUUCCUUCCCCUACCCUUUUGGGUUUACUUCUGCCUCAGACUCUCUUGAGCGUAUGUUUGGUUUCAGUUUUGUGCCAGUUUCUAACACCAUAGCAGGUUGUGAUUAGGAUGACUGUCUUUAUAAAAGUUAUUUGAAAGUCAGGUUUGAACAAGACACUCACACGUUCUUUGCAAAGGAUGUUAAGCUUGUCGACUGGAAGCCUGCCUGCCAGAACAAGAUCUUCUGCACACACCAGAAACAAUCUGCUAUUGUCUCCAGGGGUAAAAUGGUGCCAACAAAAAAAUCAAAAUUUUAGCCAAAUACUGCAUUAACUGCUUCACCACUGAAGGUAAUUAUGGGAAGGGAUUGAGAAGGUAAAAACCUCUUUUGUUUUCAGCCUAGAAAUACACACACUGCACAAAUGUGGUACCCAGAGCACAGUUGCCCUGUUAGACCAGAGCAAGUGGUUCAUUCCCCAUGCAGGAACUUGUCAGGGUUAGAGCUCUUCCUUUAUUCUGAAAGUUCUUAAUGAUGCCAGGGGAGGAGGCUGAAUGUCCCCGCCGCCCCCACCCCGUUUCCGCUGUGCUGAUCUUGGUCCCAGAAGCUGUUACCUCAGAGACGGUUCCAUGCCAGGACUUUGGGGAAGAUAGAAGAGUGUGCAUAGCUUUUAGGACAUUCUUCAGGGAAGAGCACAAAAUGCAGUGUCUAUGGCGAAAACCAGGGAAAGAGAAGAAAGAGAGCAAAGACCAAAAAAGUAAACUGAAACAGAUAAACCAAGAAGGACUUCAUGCUUCAUGUGUUGGUCCCAACCCAACUUCCCACUGCUGCUCUUCUGACAAAUGAACAUGAUUCUGCUCUUACCUGCCUCUAUCUGUAUGUAUGUUUUAUAAGUUUUAUAAGUUAAAAAUUUUAC